rfam:Heligmosomoides polygyrus genome assembly, scaffold: HPBE_scaffold0010470
CCAACGGCCCUCUUUAGGGCCACACAGGUCUCAUGCGAAUCUCAU